UAACUACGUGCCAGCAGCCGCGGUAAUACGUAGGUGGCAAGCGUUGUCCGGAGUUUAUUGGGUCGUAAAGCGAGCGCAGGCGGUUUUAAGUUACUUGAUGUGAAAGACCUUCGGCUCAACCGAAGAAGUAGCAUCGGAAACUGGGAAACUUAGAGUGCAGAAGAGGACAGUGGAACGUCCAUGUGUAGCGGUGAAAUAGCGUAGAUAUAUGGAAGAACACCAGUGGCGAAGGCGGCGUGUCUGGUCUGUAACUGACGCUGAGGCUCGAAAGUAUGGGUAGCAAACAGGAUUAGAUACCCCUGGUAG
rnacentral:rRNA from 1 species